AUUGCCUCAGUAACGGCGAGUGAAGCGGCAAGAGCUCAAAUUUGAAAUCUGGCCCCCUCGGGGUCCGAGUUGUAAUUUGCAGAGGAUGCUUCGGGUGCGGCCCCCGUCUAAGUGCCCUGGAACGGGCCGUCAUAGAGGGUGAGAAUCCCGUCUGGGACGGGGUGUCCGCGUCCGUGUGAAGCUCCUUCGACGAGUCGAGUUGUUUGGGAAUGCAGCUCUAAAUGGGUGGUAAAUUUCAUCUAAAGCUAAAUACUGGCCGGAGACCGAUAGCGCACAAGUAGAGUGAUCGAAAGAUGAAAAGCACUUUGAAAAGAGAGUUAAAAAGCACGUGAAAUUGUUGAAAGGGAAGCGCUUGCGACCAGACUCGCCCGCGGGGUUCAGCCGGCAUUCGUGCCGGUGUACUUCCCCGCGGGCGGGCCAGCGUCGGUUUGGGCGGCCGGUCAAAGGCCCCCGGAAUGUAGCACCCUUCGGGGUGCCUUAUAGCCGGGGGUGCAAUGCGGCCAGCCUGGACCGAGGAACGCGCUUCGGCACGGACGCUGGCA
rnacentral:rRNA from 1 species